UACGAAGGGGGCUAGCGCUGCUCGGAAUUACUGGGCGUAAAGGGCGCGUAGGCGGACAGUUUAGUCGGGGGUGAAAGCCCGGGGCUCAACCUCGGAAUUGCCUUCGAUACUGGCUGUCUUGAGUACGGGAGAGGUGUGUGGAACUCCGAGUGUAGAGGUGAAAUUCGUAGAUAUUAGGAAGAACACCAGUGGCGAAGGCGGCUCACUGGCCCGGUACUGACGCUGAGGCGCGAAAGCGUGGGGAGCAAACAGG
rnacentral:rRNA from 1 species